CAGCAUAAUGGAUAGCAAUAUCUAUGGUGGCGACCGGCGCACGGGUGCGUAACGCGUAUGCAACCUACCUUUAACAGGGGGAUAACCCGGAGAAAUCCGGACUAAUACCCCAUAAUAUGGGCGUUCCGCAUGGAGAGCUCAUUAAAGAGAGCAAUUUUGGUUACAGACGAGCAUGCGUUCCAUUAGGUUGUUGGCGGGGUAACGGCCCACCAAAGCGACGAUGGAUAGGGGUUCUGAGAGGAAGGUCCCCACAUUGGAACUGAGACACGGUCCAAACUCC
rnacentral:rRNA from 1 species